AGUGAACGCUGGCGGUAGGCCUAACACAUGCAAGUCGAACGGCAGCACAGUAAGAGCUUGCUCUUACGGGUGGCGAGUGGCGGACGGGUGAGGAAUACAUCGGAAUCUACUUUUUCGUGGGGGAUAACGUAGGGAAACUUACGCUAAUACCGCAUACGACCUACGGGUGAAAGCAGGGGAUCUUCGGACCUUGCGCGAUUGAAUGAGCCGAUGUCGGAUUAGCUAGUUGGCGGGGUAAAGGCCCACCAAGGCGACGAUCCGUAGCUGGUCUGAGAGGAUGAUCAGCCGCACUGGAACGGAGACACGGUCCAGAGUCCUACGGGAGGCAGCAGUGGGGAAUAUUGGACAAUAGGCGGAAGCCUGAUCCAGCCAGACCGCGUGGGUGGAGAAGGCGUUCGGGUUGUAAAGCCCUUUUGUUGGGAAAGAAAAGCAGCAGGUUAAUACCCCGCUGUUCUGACGGUACCCAAAGAAUAAGCACCGGCUAACUUCGUG
rnacentral:rRNA from 1 species